UACGUAGGGUGCGAGCGUUGUCCGGAAUUAUUGGGCGUAAAGGGCUCGUAGGCGGUUUGUCGCGUCGGGAGUGAAAACCUUGGGCUUAACUCAGGGCUUGCUUUCGAUACGGGCAGACUAGAGGUAGGUAGGGGAGAAUGGAAUUCCUGGUGUAGCGGUGAAAUGCGCAGAUAUCAGGAGGAACACCGGUGGCGAAGGCGGUUCUCUGGGCCUUACCUGACACUGAGGAGCGAAAGCGUGGGGAGCGAACAGG
rnacentral:rRNA from 1 species